CUAGUGGCCAGAGCCCUAGUGUCCUGAACCCCCACCCCCGGGGGAAGGACCCGGGCCGGUGCGCUGGGCCUCGCCGCGUUGCCAUGGGAACGUGGCCCCUGCGCAGCUCUCCCGCUCCAGCAGGCCCCGGAGCAAGGCCGGGUAACCGCGCGCUGGGCCUCGCUGCUCCCUGAGCCCAGCGGGCGGCUGUUGGUGUUUCCUCGCCUCAGACUCUGCCCCAGCCACAGGUCCUGAGCCAACUCCUACUGAAGUCCACAGCAGUCUCACUAUUGAUUUCAUUGGGCUCUGGCAUGAUCCCGGGAUGAGGUGAGUUCAGUGUUCCUUGGAAGAUGGACCCAUGGAAACCCACCUUUCUGCUGCUUCCUGCACUGCUCCCAUGCAACUCUGAACCUCUUCCGUGUCUAUAGUGAAGGACACAAUGCCCCAGCCUCACAUGAGCAGCCAGGAGGCUAUGUGAAAAGGAAGCGACUCCACUUUAUCUCCUGCAGAGUGUUUUGUGCCCCCCAUUCACUGGCAAUAAUGACUGGAAACCACAGGCUGGGUCACAAAGGGCACCUUUUGCACCAUGACUGUCACCAGCAGAGGCUGUAUGCGACGUGAAAAUAUUCUCCUCAGCGGCUUGUUAGCUGUCUGCAGAGGCCUGGACUUUCUAGUUCGGGACCAGUGGGCUCACUGUGCAGCAAGAUUUGUCCCGAACUAGUCACUUGUCACUGCAGGACUGUACGAGCUGUGGCUGGCACCUGGUCUGUUGUAAAUUGAAACCAGUGAGAACAAUGGGCCAGGAAACACCUCCAUUUUGCCUCUUUUCUGCUCAAACCUCUGGACUAUGGAUUUAUACUAAUGGGAGCAUCUAACCAAGGGACUGCGGACUUUCCAACAAUUUGGAAGCAACCAGAGACUUAACAAGCCAGCAGUUUAUUCCAUCACUGCUACAAGCCUGAAUGAAGAACUUUGCA